CGUAGGGUGCGAGCGUUAAUCGGAAUUACUGGGCGUAAAGCGUGCGCAGGCGGUCUUGUAAGACAGGCGUGAAAUCCCCGGGCUCAACCUGGGAACUGCGCUUGUGACUGCAAGGCUAGAGUACGGCAGAGGGGGGUGGAAUUCCACGUGUAGCAGUGAAAUGCGUAGAGAUGUGGAGGAACACCAAUGGCGAAGGCAGCCCCCUGGGUCGAUACUGACGCUCAUGCACGAAAGCGUGGGUAGCAAACAGGAUUAGAUACCCUGGUAGUCCACGCCCUAAACGAUGUCAACUAGGUGUUGGGUGGGUAAAACCAUUUAGUACCGGAGCUAACGCGUGAAGUUGACCGCCUGGGGAGUACGGCCGCAAGGUUA
rnacentral:rRNA from 1 species